GAAAAAACAGAGAGAAGUACCAGAUUUGAACGCUGACGAAGAGAAAGAGAUCAGAAGGAGAAGGAGAGGAGAGAGAUGGUGAAUUUAGUCGAAAAGGGUCUCAGAAAUCUGGGGAUUGAAUUAUAUGGUUAUGGAUUUCCUUGUUAUUCAUCUUCUCUGUCCCUCCUUCCGAUUUCCUUGUUAUUCAUCCAUUUGAUUUUUUGAUGUUGUGAGAUAUUGUUCCAGUAAAGAUUGUGUGGGGUCACUUUCUGUUUA
rnacentral:lncRNA from 1 species